rnacentral:lncRNA from 1 species
AUGAUUUGAAAGUAUUUCCAGAGGAGUCGCCAAGCAAGUAAACAGCUGGAUGAUCUCUAGUUGACUUAUUUCUUGUUUUUUGGUUCAUAAUACUUGAAGAAAGGAAAUGGCAUCUCCUGAAGCUGCGAAGAGGAGGAUCCUCCCAGCAUGGAUGGCAGAAAGGGCAGCCGAGCCAGCACAAGAGGCUGAAGCAAAGCCAAAGAGAAGGAAAAUGGCAGCUUUGCCCAGGCUUGAGACUGUUUACUGCAUGAAUGAAGCAGAGUUGGUAGACAUAGCUCUUUGUUUUUUGGCUGAGAACUGCAAAGAUAAGGAAAUGGAGGCAGCAUCCUCAGAAGAUGAGGUCCCAGCGACUCAGCAAGUACCGGUGAGUCACCAGCGGAGGGCAGAGAGUGGCAGCGACCGAACUCCAAGCCCCACUAUGGGGUCCAAGCCUCCAAAGGAGUGGUGUACGCUAAGUGGCAACAAGAAGGCUGAAUCAGAGGAGAAAGAUGACGAUGACGCUUUAAAAUAUGUCAGGGAGAUCUUCUUUACUUAACUUUGAAUCCUAGACAACAUCAGAAACCACUUCUAGAGACCAGGGUUGCUUUAAAGGGAAGGAGUCUCCCAGUCUGCUCCUGACCUUGCUCAUAUCACAUGGAGGAAUGGUAUGGUCAUCCCGUGACUUUGGGACAGUGAAAUUGCCUUCUAGAUUUGUUGAGAAUGUUUAUUUUCACUCAAAGGAAGAGAACCUUGGUUACUGAAGAACAGAUUGGCCCCAUCUUUGCUGUCCUUCCGCAAGCAGGCAAAGACCUUU